rnacentral:lncRNA from 1 species
GCAAAGGUCACAAAUACAAUUGGCCCCUAUUGCCCACUGCAUGUCAUGUUAAUACGGACCUCCAUGCAUGAAUUUUUUUUUUUUUUUAAUUCACCUAUCAAAUGAUAGUAUGAUACUAUAACCAUCUUAAUUAGAUUCAUAUUAAAUGCAAACCAAACUCAAAGAAAUGGACCGUAUAAUCCGAAUUGGAGUUCCCCAUAUGGAAAUUUUCUUUAUUUCUUUAACGUAAACCUUU